rnacentral:rRNA from 1 species
GAGAGCNNGCUCUCUGGGUGGCGAGUGGCGGACGGGUGAGGAAUACAUCGGAAUCUACUUUUUCGUGGGGGAUAACGUAGGGAAACUUACGCUAAUACCGCAUACGACCUACGGGUGAAAGCAGGGGAUCUUCGGACCUUGCGCGAUUGAAUGAGCCGAUGUCGGAUUAGCUAGUUGGCGGGGUAAAGGCCCACCAAGGCGACGAUCCGUAGCUGGUCUGAGAGGAUGAUCAGCCACACUGGAACUGAGACACGGUCCAGACUCCUACGGGAGGNAGCAGUGGGGAAUAUUGGACAAUGGGCGCAAGCCUGAUCCAGCCAUACCGCGUGGGUGAAGAAGGCCUUCGGGUUGUAAAGCCCUUUUGUUGGGAAAGAAAUCCAGCUGGUUAAUACCCGGUUGGGAUGACGGUACCCAAAGAAUAAGCACCGGCUAACUUCGUGCCAGCAGCCGCGGUAAUACGAAGGGUGCAAGCGUUACUCGGAAUUACUGGGCGUAAAGCGUGCGUAGGUGGUCGUUUAAGUCCGUUGUGAAAGCCCUGNNCUCAACCUGGGAACUGCAGUGGAUACUGGACGACUAGAGUGUGGUAGAGGGUAGCGGAAUUCCUGGUGUAGCANUGAAAUGCNUAGAGAUCAGGANNAANAUCNAUGGC